rnacentral:rRNA from 1 species
CGCUGGCGGCAUGCCUAACACAUGCAAGUCNAACGAGACCUUCGGGUCUAGUGGCGCAYGGGUGCGUAACGCGUGGGAAUCUGCCCUCUGGUACGGAAUAACUCAGGGAAACUUGAGCUAAUACCGUAUAAUGACUUCGGUCCAAAGAUUUAUCGCCUGAGGAUGAGCCCGCGUCGGAUUAGCUAGUUGGUGAGGUAAAAGCUCACCAAGGCGACGAUCCGUAGCUGGUCUGAGAGGAUGAUCAGCCACACUGGGACUGAGACACGGCCCAGACUCCUACGGGAGGCAGCAGUGGGGAAUAUUGGACAAUGGGCGAAAGCCUGAUCCAGCAAUGCCGCGUGAGUGAUGAAGGCCUUAGGGUUGUAAAGCUCUUUUACCCGGGAUGAUAAUGACAGUACCGGGAGAAUAAGCCCCGGCUAACUCCGUGCCAGCAGCCGCGGUAAUACGGAGGGGGCUAGCGUUGUUCGGAAUUACUGGGCGUAAAGCGCACGUAGGCGGCUUUGUAAGUUAGAGGUGAAAGCCCGGGGCUCAAUUCCGGAAUUGCCUUUAAGACUGCAUCGCUAGAAUUGUGGAGAGGUAAGUGGAAUUCCGAGUGUAGAGGUGAAAUUCGUAGAUAUUCGGAAGAACA